GACGAACGCUGGCGGCGUGCUUAACACAUGCAAGUCGGACGGAAAGGCCCUGCUUUUGCGGGGUGCUCGAGUGGCGAACGGGUGAGUAACACGUGAGUAACCUGCCCUUGACUUUGGGAUAACUUCAGGAAACUGGGGCUAAUACCGGAUAGGAGCUCCUGCUGCAUGGUGGGGGUUGGAAAGUUUCGGCGGUUGGGGAUGGACUCGCGGCUUAUCAGCUUGUUGGUGGGGUAGUGGCUUACCAAGGCUUUGACGGGUAGCCGGCCUGAGAGGGUGACCGGCCACAUUGGGACUGAGAUACGGCCCAGACUCCUACGGGAGGCAGCAGUGGGGAAUAUUGCACAAUGGGCGGAAGCCUGAUGCAGCAACGCCGCGUGCGGGAUGACGGCCUUCGGGUUGUAAACCGCUUUCGCCUGUGACGAAGCGUGAGUGACGGUAAUGGGUAAAGAAGCACCGGCUAACUACGUG
rnacentral:rRNA from 1 species